CCAUUCACCUCAGAUUUUACAAGAAGCUGAUAGUGCUACUACUAUUUACUUGGAAGCCGAGCCGGUACUAUAAAUAUCCUUCUCUCUCUCUCUCUCUUCUCUUUUCUCCCCCCUCAGUCAGUGAGUCAAACGGCGGGAAAACGGAAGUGUUUUUGGCGAAAAUCUGAAAUCUCAACCCCCUUUCAAAAACCAACACACACCCAAAUCCCGCAUUUUCAAAACCCUAAAAUUUGAGAGAGAAGUUUCUCUCUCUUCUCCUCUUUCAUGGCGUUUUCUGCCUCGCAAACCUUAAUUCAGGAGAACUGCCAUGAACAACACCUCCAACAACAACAACAACAACAUCAUCAUCAUCAACAACAACAACAACAGUUGCCAGAUUUACGGAAAUUGGCAACUGCUGAAGAAGAUAUCGACAAUCAUUACGCUGGAACUCCGAUUAAGUUUCUCCCUCUUUGCCAUGUUUACUCCGCUACUUCGCCAUGCGUCAGUGCUAGCGGUUCCUCCAAUGUGGUCUCGAAGAAGGUUCGAGCUCGUAAAUUAACCCUAAUUGACGGCUGUCUUGACGAUCACCAGCAUGAUGAUGAUGAGGAGGAGGAGAAGAGAGGAGUGGGGGAGGAACUUAAGAGUGAGCCUCAAUCAGAUUCACGGAAGGUGAUUCGGGUUUACUCUCGGCGGGUGAAGAAGAAGCCUGUUCAGGAGGGGGAGGGAAUUGCUGUGAAAGCGGAGCCGGUUGAGGAGGAAGGUUUUGUUGGGGAUGUAUUGGUUGGUUUUCCUAAUAAAAGAAGGCGGGUUGGCUGUUCAGAGCUUCUCAAAUUGGGCGUGGAUUCCAGUGUUUUGAGUAGGCUUAAUGGCCCCAGAUUGCGAGAAUCGCGAUUUCAGUAUAAUGUUAAUGCUACCAAAUCUGUUGUCAAGAAAAAGAAGCAGAAUUCUUCUGUUAAUCACAAGAAUCAAGAUGACUGGCGGCUUAAAAAAUGGUUCCAGUUAGCUUUUGAUGGUGUUGAUCCUAUGGCAUUUAUUGGUUUAGAAUGUCAGGUUUACUGGCCAUUGGACGAUGUUUGGUAUGGAGGUUCUAUUACUGGCUAUGAUGCCGAAUCUAACAAGCACAAACUUAAGUAUGAGGACAAUGAUGAGGAAGAACUGAUAUUGUCAUUUGAACAAAUUAAAUUUCAUAUAUCUGGAGAGGAAAUGAUGAACUUAAAUUUCAAAGGAAAAGAAAUAAAGGAUGAUGAUGAUCCGGAUUACAGUCAGUUGAUGGGACUAGCUGCUACUGUGGAUGAGAGUCGAGAGCUUGAGCCUGGGGAUAUCAUUUGGGCAAAACUUACGGGUCAUGCCAUGUGGCCGGCAAUCAUUAUGGACGAAUCACUUGUUAGUGACCGCAAAGGAUUGAAUAAGUGCUCAGGAAGAAGAUCAAUUCCUGUGCAAUUCUUUGGAACUCAUGACUUUGCAAGAAUACAGGUUAAACAGACAGUAUCUUUCGUGAAAGGACUCUUUUCGUGUUUUCAUUUGAAGUGCAAGUCCUCACGUUUUAUUCGAAGCUUGAAAGAAGCAAAAAUGUACUUGAGCGAGCAGAAACUUCCUAAAAGCAUGCUGAACAUGCAACAUGUAUCCACUGAUGUUCAAACUGUUGAUUCGGAUGAAGCUUCAAUGAGGGAUGAUGAAUUGUCGUACUCAAAAGGGCCAAUUAAACUCAUUUCACGCAGAUCGUUGUCUGAUAGAUACCAAAACAUGCCCAGUGGUCACUGGGGUAUCAAUAUUAAUUGGAAAGAUCUUGAUAGAUGCAAUGUGUGCCACAUGGAUGAGGAGUAUGAGAACAACUUGUUCCUGCAGUGUGAUAAAUGCAGAAUGAUGGUUCAUGCCAGGUGCUAUGGGGAGGAGUCUGUCGAUGGUAGACUUUGGCUGUGUAACUUGUGUCGAGUUGGAGCACCUGAAUCCACUCCGGCCUGUCGUCUUUGCCCUGUUGUAGGUGGAGCUAUGAAGCCCACAACUGAUGGUCAUUGGGCUCAUCUAGCUUGUGCUAUCUGGAUUCCUGAAACGUGCUUAGCUGAUAUAAAGAGAAUGGAGCCAAUAGAUGGUCUGAGCAGAAUUCAUAAGGACCGCUGGAAGCUGUUAUGUAGUAUUUGUCAUGUCCCAUAUGGAGCAUGCAUCCAGUGUUCUAACAGCACUUGUCGUGUUGCCUAUCAUCCACUCUGUGCACGUGUUUCUGGCUAUUGUGUUGAGCUGGAAGAUGAAGACAGACUUCAUCUCAUUUCACUAGAUGAAGACGAGGAAGAACAGUGUAUUCGCUUACUUUCCUUCUGCACGAAACAUAAGCAGCCAUCUAAUGAUCGUCCGAUUGUGGAUGAGGGAAAUGGAAAAAAAUCUCGUCAGAAUUCAAGCUAUAUCCCGCCAUCGAAUGAAUCUGGCUGUGCACGUUGUGAGCCUUAUGAUUAUUCUGCCAGAAGAGGACGUAAAGAACCGGCCGCAGCAUCAGCAAAACGUUUAUUUUUAGAGAAUAUGCCACACCUUGUUGGUUGUUAUUAUGUGCAUGAUUCCAUGUCUCGCACCUCCGAGGAGGACAAUGUGGAUACUGGCUCUAAGUUUUCUUCAGCAAUUCAAAGUGGAUCGUCAAACCAGGAAGCUCUGCCAAGCAUACUUUCGAUGGCUGAUAAAUAUAGAUACAUGAGGGAGACUACUAGGAAACGAUUAGCAUUUGGUAAAUCUAGAAUACAUGGAUUUGGGAUCUUUGCGAAGCAGCCACAUAAAGCUGGAGAUAUGGUUAUUGAAUAUACUGGCGAAGUUGUUAGACCUCCGGUGGCUGAUCGAAGAGAACACUUAAUAUACAAUUCAUUAGUUGGUGCUGGAACUUAUAUGUUCAGGAUUGAUGAUGAGCGUGUUAUUGAUGCUACGCGGGCAGGAAGUAUUGCUCAUUUGAUCAACCAUUCAUGUGAACCAAACUGUUACUCUAGAUUUAUAACUGUUAGUGGUGAUGUACACAUUAUAAUUUUUGCCAAAAGAGAUAUUAAACAAUGGGAGGAACUGACUUAUGACUACAGGUUCCUUUCCAUAGAUGAACAACUUUCAUGUUAUUGUGGAUCCGAAAGAUGUCGAGGGGUAGUUAACGAUAUUGAAGCUGAACAGCAGGCUGCUAAGCUCUAUGUUCCUCGCAGUGAGCUGAUUGAUUGGAGGGGAGAAUAAGAGCUGAUUGAAAUGACGAACAGGUUUGAAUGAUCUGUGCUGGGCUGUUACAUUGUCGUCCAAUAUUGAAAGAUGAGAAAAUGCCCAAAACUUCUGUUUGUUAUAGGAUAAACAUAAAAGGCUGACAGAAUUAGGAAUGGAUGAAGGUUGUGGGCCGCAUUCCUCAAACAUGGGAUCUGGUUUUCCUUUGCCUUCAGCUAUAGUUUGUCCUUGGUUUGUUUAUUUGCAUUAUGUACGCAGUCACAACGUGGGAGCACGGGUUCCCCUCCUUAUCCAGAAGACCCCUACUGUCAAUUGCUGCCCCUCUGAGAUUCUUACUGUUGGAGACAGCAUAUCUCUUCCCUACAAUUCGCUCUCAUCUCAGACUGCCUUCCUUCUCUUGUUUUUGGGAAGAAGAGCUACGUUUCUUCUUCAGCUUUCUCAUUGUUAAACACAGAGGAAGUGUUUGAGCUUCUCAUGCUUGAAGCUUUUUCUGGAUUUUCUUGUCCCCUCGGAUUUUCUUCCUUAUGUCUUCUAGUUAGCUUCAUGGGGUCCAUGAGCAUAGCUUUGUAUUUACAUAGACCAUACAUGUUUCGGAUCUUUCAUUCGUUAGUUCCAGCCUUACCAUAUUUUCAUGUGCUUCAAAAAAAAAAUAGUACUAAUCUUUUGCAUCUCUUUUUCUUUUAUGUUCUCUCUUUGGCACUUAUCCUUGGCACUUUUUUGGGAUGUUUAGUGCGUCCUCAUUCUCCCAUUGAUGUUUUUGUGACUUGAUAAUAAAGGAUGAUGAAAGGUUAGAUCGGA